rnacentral:rRNA from 1 species
UACGGGGGGAGCAAGCGUUGUUCGGAUUUACUGGGCGUAAAGGGCGCGUAGGCGGCCACCGCAAGUCGGUUGUGAAAUCUCUGGGCUUAACCCAGAAAGGUCAACCGAUACUGCGGGGCUAGAGUGCAGAAGGGGCAACUGGAAUUCUCGGUGUAGCGGUGAAAUGCGUAGAUAUCGAGAGGAACACCUGCGGCGAAGGCGGGUUGCUGGGCUGACACUGACGCUGAGGCGCGAAAGCGUGGGGAGCAAACGGG